AACGUAGGAUCCGAGCGUUGUCCGGAAUCACUGGGUGUAAAGGGUGCGUAGGCGGGCUUGCGCGUCAAGGGUUAAAGACCUCGGCUCAACCGAGGGAAUGCCCUUGAUACGGCAGGUCUUGUGUGCGGGAGAGGAUGGUGGAAUUCCUGGUGGUGCGGUGAAAUGCGUAGAGAUCAGGAGGGACGCCGAAGGCGAAGGGACCCAUCCGGCCCGCCACUGACGCUGAGGCACGAAAGCGUGGGGAGCAAACAGG
rnacentral:rRNA from 1 species